rnacentral:rRNA from 1 species
AUGUUCCAAUGUCACAAAAGUAAACAACCAACUGUGGUUCUUAAACUAGACUUUGAAAAGGCUUUUGAUAAGAUAGAACAUGGCAUGAUCUUAGCAAUCCUUAAGCAAAAGGGCUUUGGAAUGAAAUGGUGUUCUUGGAUUAAGCAGAUUCUGGAGACAGCCACCUUAUAUGUUCUUUUGAAUGGCAUCCCUGGGUCACAGUUUAAAUGUAGAAGGGGUGUCAAACAGGGAGACCCACUAUCACCUUUACUGUUUGUUCUAGCAGCCGACUUCUUGCAAUCUAUUCUAAAUGAUGCAAAGAACAGAGGGGUCAUUACACCUCCAUUCAGCUCCACCUCUUGUCCUGACUUUCCCAUACUGCAAUAUGCAGAUGACACCUUGAUUUUAUGUCUGCUUGCCCAACAAAACUUCAACAACUGCAGAGCCUAG